rnacentral:tRNA from 1 species
CAGGCAGUAGCUCAGUGGUUGAGCUCUCGCUUUUUAUGCGGGAAGACCUGAGUUCGAUUCCCGGCUGUUUAC